rnacentral:lncRNA from 1 species
UCAAGCCUCGACGAUCUUUUUACUCACUCUUUAGGAGCUCUUUCUUGUGUUCUCUGAUACAUAUUUUAUUUCUGCUAUAACAAGUUUCAAUUGAGAUUGAAACUUGGGGGAUAGGCCAAUUCAAACAUUGAAUUGGAUUAUAUCUAUUAUUCUCUCUCUCUCAUUUUUAAACCAUGCAUAGCCUCAAUGUAUGGUUAAAAAUCCAUGUUGGGUCCAAUCACAGGAGGCAUUAUCUUGUCAUGUGAACCUAUACGAUUUAGGAGUCGUUCAAGAGUCAUUCAGGAAAAAGAAGACUCAAAUUCUUUCCUUUUUUUGUUUUGUGCUGCUUUAAGAUCUAUGCAAAUCUUUUGAUUGCUUUAAUGCCUGGGAUAUCACAAAAAUGAUACAAGAAUAUGUACGGGAGAGUGAUUAAAAGCAGAACCUCUAUGCUUUUAUUUUAUAUU